CCUACGGGCGGCUGCAGUGGGGAAUAUUGGACAAUGGGCGAAAGCCUGAUCCAGCCAUGCCGCGUGUGUGAAGAAGGCCUUCGGGUUGUAAAGCACUUUCAGUGGGGAAGAAAGCCUUGGGGCUAAUACCCUCGAGGAAGGACAUCACCCACAGAAGAAGCACCGGCUAACUCCGUGCCAGCAGCCGCGGUAAUACGGAGGGUGCGAGCGUUAAUCGGAAUUACUGGGCGUAAAGCGCGCGUAGGCGGUCUGAUAAGCCGGUUGUGAAAGCCCCGGGCUCAACCUGGGAACGGCAUCCGGAACUGUCAGGCUAGAGUGCAGGAGAGGAAGGUAGAAUUCCCGGUGUAGCGGUGAAAUGCGUAGAGAUCGGGAGGAAUACCAGUGGCGAAGGCGGCCUUCUGGACUGACACUGACGCUGAGGUGCGAAAGCGUGGGUAGCAAACAGGAUUAGAUACCCCAUAGUC
rnacentral:rRNA from 1 species